AUGAGCACAACGGAGACCCAUAGAUAAGAAAUAUUGAAUCGGAAUGGAUCGCAGAUGGGAGACAAGCGCUCCACUUCUUCACAUGGUAUUAGAUACCCAACCAAGGAAUAAAUUCCCAUCCAUUUCUAAAUUCUGCCUAAUCCAAGUUUAGGCUCUCCAGAGACUCAGACACAGCGGGUGUAAAGUGUAAGAUCCACAGGAAGCCUGUAGCCUGGUAACUCUGCACUUCACUGCCAGUAGGGGGGCAGUACACCUGCUAUGCAUGCUGAGGGUCCACACCAGCUUGAGACUAAGAGAUUUUCAGCCUAGCUUCAUGAUGCUCAAACAAUGAUGGACGGAUUAAAA